rnacentral:lncRNA from 1 species
GCUGAAAGUGAUCCUUGUGGGCUUGGCCAUCUUUGGUCUUAUUGUGGCAGAGAGCAAUGCCAUGCCGGCCAGCAGCUCCAGUGAAGCCGAGGCCAGGGCUGAUCCCGAGACUGCAGAGCGUGCCGAGCAGAGCAACGCCGAGGAGGCACGUAUCAGCAAGGCAUGC